UACGUAGGGCGCAAGCGUUGUCCGGAAUUGUUGGGCGUAAAGAGCUCGUAGGCGGCCUGUUACGUCUGCUGUGAAAUCCCGGGGCUUAACCCCGGGCGUGCAGUGGAUACGGGCAGGCUGGAGGCAGGCAGGGGAGAACGGAAUUCCCGGUGUAGCGGUGAAAUGCGCAGAUAUCGGGAGGAACACCGGUGGCGAAGGCGGUUCUCUGGGCCUGUACUGACGCUGAGGAGCGAAAGCGUGGGGAGCGAACAGG
rnacentral:rRNA from 1 species